rnacentral:lncRNA from 1 species
GGAGAAACAGACUCCCCGCCGAGCAGGGAGCCCGAUGCGGGACUCGAUCCCGGGACUCCAGGAUCAUGACCUGAGCUGAAGGCAGUCACUUAACCAACUGAGCCACCCAGGCGCCCCCUUAUUCUCUUUAUUAUCUUUACCCUUCAACCUUCCUUUCUUCCUGAGUCCCCUCUCUCCUAUAGUUGUCAACAGAUAAUGUCUUAUAAACUCUCAAGUUGCUGGAAGUUAAAAUCCUAAAUAACAAGAUGGCAACUCCACUAUGCCAGAAGGUGACAGAUAUCAUCGUUGACUACCUGAGGACAAUGGUGCAGCUUCCUACAUUGGCGUUACAUGGGAAUAUAUCCUGCACCUUCUGAGGAUGGCCCAAACGAAGGAUGCCAUGUUGGCAAUAUGUCAUGUGCUCAAAGGAUUGGUCAUCAGUGCCCGGAAACAUCUGGAUCUGGGCAUUACAGAUGAUGAAAUAAUGGACAUUACACAAGAGGCAGUGUCCUUCAAGGCUUAUCUCACCCUCAGGCUUCUCUUCAAUUGUUGGUCCCUGAAGAGCAACAGCAAGGUGAGAGUUGGAGAUAGUGGGGUUGGAUGGAUGGCUGAAGGAGUAAAUCUUGAGCCAAAGAUGGGGCAGGGCCGUGUCUGUCUACUUACUGGUGGAAGGAUAACUUAAAUGGCUCUUCCAAAAGAGCAGGGUGACUUUCCUUAGGCUCCUCUUCCCAUUCUCCAGAAAAGGGUACUAUCAGAAAAUGCCACUGUCCAGCCACAUAUUUGUUAAAUAUGCAAUUAAGCAACUUAAAUUUACUGAUUACUAGCAUUAGCCAG